rnacentral:piRNA from 1 species
UAGAGACUGACAAAUACUGCAGAAAGC